rnacentral:lncRNA from 1 species
AGAAGGAGGAGGGAAUCCAGUGUUUAGCAAGUAGCAUGAUGUGGUUAGUUGUACCUUGUAAGCUUUAUAAUUUGCACAGCUGUGUUAUACAUGCUGACUUCCUCUCCUUUUAGGAUGCCCCUGCCUGGUAAGUUAGGUUUUUAUUCACGGCAUUUUUUUAGGAUGUUGUUCGCAGCAUUUGGGUCCCCCUUCCAGAUUCAAUCUAUCUUUGAGGUCUAUGGAUCAUCUCUCCAGGGCUUCAUCAAUGAGGCAAAGGGCCAUUUUGUCUGCCCUACAAUUACCCAAGAAAGAUGCAAGAAAAACUGCAUAUAGUCUGCCAGAUGGACAAGGAACAUUUGACUGCACUAAAAAAUUUCCAGCAAUGGUAUCCCCAGCUUGCCCAUUUGCUGCGAGCACUGCACAAAGUCAACAAGCAUUUCCCCUGAAAUCUCCACCUCCCCAACUGCCAAACUGGCUUGGCUGGUUACCAGAGGCACUGAGAGGAUGGGAGGAGGGAGCCUAUAGUGUGAAGAUUUGCUUGCACCCUGGUUCUCACCCCAUUGUGAGGUAACUGCUCCAAAACUGAGCUCCAUGUGAGAAAGGAAGUGAAACUGAUUUGCCCAUGGUCUGUCUGGGUGAAGGUUGACCCAGGACUGAAGCACAGAACUGCUGUGGCCCGGGCUGGCCUGGGGCAUGCUGGCCUGAGUCAUGGCUUCCCAGGAAUGCAGCUAGUCUGGAAUGUAGUGCAGGGGCCCAGAUGCCUGACACGGAGCAGGACUUUAGAAAGGGGAAGGUCUUUUCCUAAACACAGGGAAGCCCUACGUUCGUAAAGCAACAAGGGAUCUUUAAAAAAAAAUCCACAUGUGACAGGUUGGUGAAGGCACUGCGGCCAGAGGCUGGUGUGUCCUUCCUGCCAGCUGAGAACCUUACUCCACCCUUUGAGUGUUCCAUUCAGAAUGAAGGCCAAAGGUUUCCAGACUAAAAAAUGCCUUUAAUUCAAGCCCAAGUUAUGCAGGAAGGAGUCUCAGCUUCUGCUGCCAGGCCUGAGAGGCUGACCAAGCUGGAG